rnacentral:rRNA from 1 species
CCCACGGGGGGCAGCAGUGGGGAAUAUUGGACAAUGGGCGAAAGCCUGAUCCAGCCAUGCCGCGUGUGUGAAGAAGGCCUUCGGGUUGUAAAGCACUUUCAGUGGGGAAGAAAGCCUUGGGGCUAAUACCCUCGAGGAAGGACAUCACCCACAGAAGAAGCACCGGCUAACUCCGUGCCAGCAGCCGCGGUAAUACGGAGGGUGCGAGCGUUAAUCGGAAUUACUGGGCGUAAAGCGCGCGUAGGCGGUCUGAUAAGCCGGUUGUGAAAGCCCCGGGCUCAACCUGGGAACGGCAUCCGGAACUGUCAGGCUAGAGUGCAGGAGAGGAAGGUAGAAUUCCCGGUGUAGCGGUGAAAUGCGUAGAGAUCGGGAGGAAUACCAGUGGCGAAGGCGGCCUUCUGGACUGACACUGACGCUGAGGUGCGAAAGCGUGGGUAGCAAACAGGAUUAGAUACCCUGGUAGUC